CAACUAGACUGUGAGCUUCU
rnacentral:ncRNA from 2 species